CAGUAGCCACGGUAAUACGUAGGUCCCGAGCGUUGUCCGGAUUUAUUGGGCGUAAAGCGAGCGCAGGCGGUUAGAUAAGUCUGAAGUUAAAGGCUGUGGCUUAACCAUAGUACGCUUUGGAAACUGUUUAACUUGAGUGCAAGAGGGGAGAGUGGAAUUCCAUGUGUAGCGGUGAAAUGCGUAGAUAUAUGGAGGAACACCGGUGGCGAAAGCGGCUCUCUGGCUUGUAACUGACGCUGAGGCUCGAAAGCGUGGGGAGCAAACAGGAUUAGAUACCCCAGUAGUCCCUGUCUCUUAUACC
rnacentral:rRNA from 1 species